rnacentral:rRNA from 1 species
UGAAGCGGCAAAAGCUCAAAUUUGAAAUCCCCCGGGAAUUGUAAUUUGAAGAGAUUUGGGUCCGGCCGGCAGGGGUUAAGUCCACUGGAAAGUGGCGCCACAGAGGGUGACAGCCCCGUGAACCCCUUUAACGCCUUCAUCCCAGAUCUCCAAGAGUCGAGUUGUUUGGGAAUGCAGCUCUAAGUGGGUGGUAAAUUCCAUCUAAAGCUAAAUACCGGCGAGAGACCGAUAGCGAACAAGUACAGUGAUGGAAAGAUGAAAAGCACUUUGAAAAGAGAGUGAAAAAGUACGUGAAAUUGUUGAAAGGGAAGGGCUUGCAAGCAGACACUUAACUGGGCCAGCAUCGGGGCGGCGGGAAACAAAACCACCGGGGAAUGUACCUUUCGAGGAUUAUAACCCCGGUCUCUAUUUCCUUGUUGCCCCGAGGCCUGCAAUCUAAGGAUGCUGGCGUAAUGGUUGCAAGUCGCCCGUCUUGAAC